AUACAGCUGUCAAAACUGAAGAUGCCCAAACUCUUCGAAUGGUAGCAGGAGCAAUUGCAAAUUUGUGUGGAAAUGAAAAGUUACACACUAAAUUAAGGGAAGAUGGAGCUGUCAAAGCAUUGUUAGAAAUGGCUAGAUCUGGAAAUAUUGAAGUCAUUGCACAGGUUGCCAGAGGAUUGGCUAACUUUGCAAAGUGUGAAUCGCGAGGAACAAUUCAAGGACAUAGGAAAGGCCGUUCUACUCUUAUGGAAGAUGGUGUACUGAAAUGGUUGACAACCAACUCUAACAAUGCUGCUUCUUCCACUAGGCGCCACAUUGAACUUGCUCUGUGUCAUUUGGCACAAAAUGAGGGUAAUGCUAGAGAUUUCGUGUCAAGU
rnacentral:misc_RNA from 1 species